UAUUUAUUUUAUUAUAUUUAUUUUUUGUUUAUUUAAUUAUUUAAUAAAAAUAAUUUUGUUGAAUUUUGUCUUAGCAUAUUUUGUAGAAUUGAUUUUUUAUAUUAUAGUUUAUUGGUAAUGUAAUUGUUUUAUGAAAUAUUAUUUUAAAUUUUUAAAAGUAGAUUUUAUUUAUUGUACCUUUUGUAUCAGGGUUUAUCAAAAUUUUAGUAUUUACUUUACUUGUCUCGAUUUGGGUUGAUUUAUAAAUAAUUUAUAGUGAAUGUAUCAUAAUUCUUAUUAAAUUAUUUAUAGAAAUGAGAUGUUAACCGUUUCCCAAGAUAUCUAGUUUCUUAAGAAAAAAUUUAAUUUUUUAAAGUUAAUUGUUUUUAUUUAAUUUUUUAAGUAUAAAUAUUAACUUAUUUAUUCUUUAAGGGAUAAGCUUUGAAGUUAAUACCCUAUAAUUUGUUUUAAUAAAAUAUAAUAGUAAGCUUUAAACCAGCUCUCUUUAAGAUUACGUUUUAGUUCAUUAUUUUUAUUUUUGAUUUUAUAACUAUUUUAGGUUUUUUAUUAAGAUUAUAAAUUUAAUUUUUCAAAUUUUGUAAUAAUGAUAGAAUUAGUAUAUUUAUUUGUAUAUAAUUUUUACCUUGUUAAUUUAUUAUAAGGAACUAGGC
rnacentral:rRNA from 1 species